CCACUUAUCUGGCAGGGGAAAUCCUAUGGUUACCAAAGUGAUUCGUCCUAAGGUUGAGGCUCAUCCAUUGCACUCCAGAUGUGCUGUUCUCUUGUUGUUUCCCCUAAUGUGUGAAGCUCAGCUGCAUAACUGAGC
ensembl:snRNA U1 U1 spliceosomal RNA